rnacentral:rRNA from 1 species
GAUGAACGCUGGCGGCGUGCUUAACACAUGCAAGUCGAACGGAAAGGCCCAAGCUUGCUUGGGUACUCGAGUGGCGAACGGGUGAGUAACACGUGGGUGAUCUGCCCUGCACUUCGGGAUAAGCCUGGGAAACUGGGUCUAAUACCGGAUAGGACGAUGGUUUGGAUGCCAUUGUGGAAAGUUUUUUCGGUGUGGGAUGAGCUCGCGGCCUAUCAGCUUGUUGGGGGGGUAAUGGCCUACCAAGGCGUCGACGGGUAGCCGGCCUGAGAGGGUGUACGGCCACAUUGGGACUGAGAGACGGCCCAGAGUCCUACGGGAGGCAGAAGUGGGGAAUAUUGUACAAUGGGCGCAAGCGUGAUGCAGCGAAGCCGCGUGGGGGAUGACGGCCUUCGGGUUGUAAACUCCUUUCGCUAGGGACGAAGCGUUUUUGUGACGGUACCUGGAGAAGAAGCACCGGCUAACUACGUG